UUAGCAAUAUUUUAUAUUUAUAUGCCUUAUAAGGAAAUGACAGGAAACUCAGUUCAUGAAUCUUUCCACAGAAAAGCUGGAUUGCUUCAUGUUUGAAGACAAACAGAAGAAAACAGCUAGAUUAUUCAACUAAAAUUCUGCAACUGGUGGCUGUAGGGAGAAUCAAGCUGUUUCAAACCAUGGUGAUCUGUGUGAAGAUUACUGAAGGAAAUGAUUACUGAAGAUUACUGAAGAUUAUGAUUACUGAAUCAUAAAAGAUUACU
rnacentral:lncRNA from 1 species